rnacentral:rRNA from 1 species
GACUACCGGGGUAUCUAAUCCUGUUUGCUACCCACGCUUUCGUCCAUGAGGGUCAGUUGCACGCCAGAGAGCCGCCUUCGCCAUCGGUAUUCCUCCUGAUAUCUACGCAUUCCACCGCUACACCAGGAAUUCUGCUCUCCCCUCGUGCACUCGAGCCCACCAGUAUCCAAUGCAGUUCCAAGGUUGGGCCUUGGUAUUUCACAUCAGACUUGGCAGGCACCCUGCGGACCCUUUACGCCCAGUAAAUCCGAAUAACGCUCGCCACCUACGUAUUACCGCGGCUGCUGGCACGUAGUUAGCCGUGGCUUCCUCUCCCGGUACCGUCACAUUCUUCGUCCCGGGUGACAGGAGUUUACAACCCGAAGGCCUUCAUCCCCCACGCGGCAUCGCUCCGUCAGGCUUGCGCCCAUUGCGGAAGAUUCCCCACUGCUGCCCCCCGUAGG